rnacentral:rRNA from 1 species
GAGUUUGAUCUUGGCUCAGAGUGAACGCCGGCGGCAGGCCUUACACAUGCAAGUCGAGCGGCAGCGCGGGGGCAACCCUGGCGGCGAGCGGCGAACGGGUGAGUAAUGCAUCGGAACGUGUCCUCUUGUGGGGGAUAACCAGUCGAAAGACUGGCUAAUACCGCAUGAGAUCGAGAGAUGAAAGCAGGGGACCGCAAGGCCUUGCGCGAGAGGAGCGGCCGAUGCCGGAUUAGCUAGUUGGUGGGGUAAAAGCCUACCAAGGCGACGAUCCGUAGCUGGUCUGAGAGGACGACCAGCCACACUGGGACUGAGACACGGCCCAGACUCCUACGGGAGGCAGCAGUGGGGAAUUUUGGACAAUGGGGGGCAACCCUGAUCCAGCCAUGCCGCGUGUGUGAAGAAGGCCUCGGUUG